GGAACAUUGGUUCGGAUGACCUGCGCUAUAAUAAUAUGGUAUUUUUUAGAUCGACAUAAAGCCUCAUUAUGAGCAAAAUGCAUUUGAUAUACAAAAUGUGUGAACUGUGCAGUAAUUGCAAAGAUUAUCCGAGUCAAUGUAGCCUAAGAUGUGUCUCCAUUAGUCGCCUUUUAUGGGUAAUUAUACCAAUUAAUAUUUUAGGUGCGAGACUGUAUUUAUGAAUUAGAAACGCAUAUAAACAUAUCCUCAUUGACAUCACAGCAAACGAUGGCUUCAUCAAAAUUAUACAAUAAAAGAGAAUUAUUUUAUUGCGAAAACCAUAUAAAUCCUCCUGCAUUUAGAUUAUAUGACAUGUGUGAAAUAAAUUGGAGUUUUAUUGGAUUGAUGGUGAACUGGUGGUUGUCAUAUUUUAUUGCACUGACGCAAUUUAAUAAGUAGGUGACAAUAAAAAUUGAUUAAUAUAAAUUACUAAUUGUAAAAAUCCUUUCU